GACGAAGGGGGCUAGCGUUGUUCGGAAUUACUGGGCGUAAAGCGCGUGUAGGCGGUUGUUCAAGUCAGGUGUGAAAGCCUUGAGCUCAACUCAAGAAAUGCACUUGAUACUGGAUGACUAGAGGACCGGAGAGGAUAGUGGAAUUCCAGUGUAGUGGUGAAAUACGUAGAGAUUGGGAAGAACACCAGUGGCGAAGGCGGCUAUCUGGACGGUUUCUGACGCUAAGACGCGAAAGCGUGGGGAGCAAACAGG
rnacentral:rRNA from 1 species